CUUUAAGCCUUCUAAAACGAGAGGAAAGAAAAUCCUAUAUGGGCUCAAGGCCCAGUCAGACUUGGCGUAGCCAUCGGUCGCUCCUUGCGCCGCUGUACGCUGCGCCCAAAUCCUGUUUCUCCCCUGUUACCCCUCACCAAAGCCUUCCUCUGGUCUUCCCAACAGAGGCUGCUGCCGUCGCUGCUGCUGGUGGUGGUUGCCGCCGCCGUGAGCCGCGAGGUUGCUGCUCUCCCCGACGCAUCUCCUCUCCGUGGUCGUUGCCGAGCAGUGGUGGCUGCUGGGCGUCGUGUCGCUAGCAGUAAAUCCUGAGGACGACAUGCAUGGGAGUCUUGGGAGUAGCAUCUUCACCGUUUUCACUUCACGGAACUCACACCUAUUGUCCUUUAGGACCGUGUUUUGAGAACCUAGUAUAGUUGUACUUUACUACCUGUGGUGGUUCAUCUUGAAUUGGAGAGAUACUCUCUUGGUCUGUAUGGCUUAGCUAAUUUCCCCUUAAGACUAACGCUAUCGCCUAGAGUUACCGAGGAUGUUCUUGGUUAUUGUAUUGUAGCCUUGUGCUUUACACCGGUGCUAGUUCUUUGCGAUAUAUAACUAUAUGAAUUGCA